GUGAACGCUGGCGGUAGGCCUAACACAUGCAAGUCGAACGGCAGCACAGUAAGAGCUUGCUCUUACGGGUGGCGAGUGGCGGACGGGUGAGGAAUACAUCGGAAUCUACUUUUUCGUGGGGGAUAACGUAGGGAAACUUACGCUAAUACCGCAUACGACCUACGGGUGAAAGCAGGGGAUCUUCGGACCUUGCGCGAUUGAAUGAGCCGAUGUCGGAUUAGCUAGUUGGCGGGGUAAAGGCCCACCAAGGCGACGAUCCGUAGCUGGUCUGAGAGGAUGAUCAGCCACACUGGAACUGAGACACGGUCCAGACUCCUACGGGAGGCAGCAGUGGGGAAUAUUGGACAAUGGGCGCAAGCCUGAUCCAGCCAUACCGCGUGGGUGAAGAAGGCCUUCGGGUUGUAAAGCCCUUUUGUUGGGAAAGAAAAGCAGCAGGUUAAUACCCCGCUGCUCUGACGGUACCCAAAGAAUAAGCACCGGCUAACUUCGUG
rnacentral:rRNA from 1 species